rnacentral:rRNA from 1 species
AGCGUUGCUCGGAAUUACUGGGCGUAAAGGGAGCGUAGGCGGACAUUUAAGUCAGGGGUGAAAUCCCGGGGCUCAACCCCGGAACUGCCUUUGAUACUGGAAGUCUUGAGUAUGGUAGAGGUGAGUGGAAUUGCGAGUGUAG